rnacentral:rRNA from 1 species
AUACGUAGGGGGCGAGCGUUGCCCGGAAUUACUGGGCGUAAAGGGAACGUAGGUGGCUCUUAAAGUCAGGUGUGAAAAUAACGAAGCUUAACAGGUUAAUGCGCUUGAAACUAAAGGGCUUGAGGGCAAUAGAGGGAGAUGGAAUUACCUGUGUAGGGGUGAAAUCCGCAGAUAUAGGUAAGAAGGCCGGUGGGGAAGCCGAUCUCCUGGGUUGACUCUGACACUGAGGUUCGAAAGCUAGGGGAGC